rnacentral:misc_RNA from 1 species
AAGUCGUAACAAGGUUUCCGUAGGUGAACCUGCGGAAGGAUCAUUAUCCAUCUCACCAGGUGUGGUUGCGGCCCCCGGGGGCGUGGGCGUCUUCUGGCGUCCUCUCUCCCGGGCGGUAGGGGUAACACCCUCACGCGCCACAUUUCUGAAUCCUUUUUUUACGAGCACCUUUCGUUCUCCUUCGGUGGGGCAACCUGCCGCUGGAACCUAUCAAACUCUUUUGCAUCUAGCAUUACCUGUUCUGAUACAAACAAUCGUUACAACUUUCAACAAUGGAUCUCUUGGCUCUG